rnacentral:rRNA from 1 species
AUUGAACGCUGGCGGCAGGCCUAACACAUGCAAGUCGAACGGUAACAGGAAACAGCUUGCUGUUUCGCUGACGAGUGGCGGACGGGUGAGUAAUGUCCGGGAAACUGCCUGAUGGAGGGGGAUAACUACUGGAAACGGUAGCUAAUACCGCAUAACGUCGCAAGACCAAAGAGGGGGACCUUCGGGCCUCUUGCCAUCGGAUGUGCCCAGAUGGGAUUAGCUAGUAGGUGGGGUAACGGCUCACCUAGGCGACGAUCCCUAGCUGGUCUGAGAGGAUGACCAGCCACACUGGAACUGAGACACGGUCCAGACUCCUACGGGAGGCAGCAGUGGGGAAUAUUGCACAAUGGGCGCAAGCCUGAUGCAGCCAUGCCGCGUGUAUGAAGAAGGCCUUCGGGUUGUAAAGUACUUUCAGCGGGGAGGAAGGGAGUAAAGUUAAUACCUUUGCUCAUUGACGUUGCCCGCAGAAGAAGCACCGGCUAACUCCGUGCCAGCCGCCGCAGUAA